rnacentral:rRNA from 1 species
CCUACGGGGGGCUGCAGUGGGGAAUAUUGGACAAUGGGGGCAACCCUGAUCCAGCCAUGCCGCGUGUGUGAAGAAGGCCCUCGGGUUGUAAAGCACUUUCAGUGAGGAAGAACGCCUGGUGGUUAAUACCCAUCAGGAAAGACAUCACUCACAGAAGAAGCACCGGCUAACUCCGUGCCAGCAGCCGCGGUAAUACGGAGGGUGCGAGCGUUAAUCGGAAUUACUGGGCGUAAAGCGCGCGUAGGUGGCUUGAUAAGCCGGUUGUGAAAGCCCCGGGCUCAACCUGGGAACGGCAUCCGGAACUGUCAAGCUAGAGUGCAGGAGAGGAAGGUAGAAUUCCCGGUGUAGCGGUGAAAUGCGUAGAGAUCGGGAGGAAUACCAGUGGCGAAGGCGGCCUUCUGGACUGAAACUGACACUGAGGUGCGAAAGCGUGGGUAGCAAACAGGAUUAGAUACCCUAGUAGUC